GUGACCAAGCUACUAAGAGCGCACGAUGGAUGACUUGGCGUCAAGAGGCGAUGAAAGACGUGGGAACCUGCGAAAAGUCCAGGGGAGCUGGUAACCGAGCAUAGAUCCUGGAAUGUCUGAAUGGGGCAACCCACUCCUAUACGGAGGACCUGUUGUUGAAUGUAUAGACAACAGGAGCGAACGCGGAGAACUGAAACAUCUCAGUACCCGCAGGAAAAGAAAGCAACCGCGAUUCCGUGAGUAGCGGCGAGCGAAAGCGGAUCAGCCAGUGGAUGAAUGAAGCGGGUGGAAAACCGCGCCCAAGAAGGUGACAGCCCUGUAAUCAAAAACUGGUGAGCACAUAGAGUAGGUUCGGGCUCGGGGAACCCGGACUGAAGAUGGGGGGUCCACCCUCCAAUGCUAAAUACUACUUGACGACCGAUAGCGAAGCAGUAAGGCGACUGAAAGUUGAUAAGCACCCCGACAAGGGGAGUGAAAGAGUACCUGAAAUCGUGCGCUUACAAGCGGUCGGAGCCCUUCGGGGUGACGGCGUGCUUUUUGCAUAAUGAGCCGGCGAGUUAGUCUGUGCGGCGAGCCUAAGGCCUACCGGGCCGGAGGCGGAGCGAAAGCGAGUCUGAAACUGGCGUUGAGUCGCACGGGCUAGACGCGAAACCUUGUGAUCUACCGUUGGUCAGAGUGAAGGG
rnacentral:rRNA from 1 species